CCCAUCUUCACUAGUGGGCAGCCCCAGUGCAUGUAGCUCCCGCUUGCGCAGGGUCUGGGGAAGGGUCCGACCACUUUGGGUCUAUUGUACGCAACCUUUCCCUACAUUUCUGCAAGAGGCUGUUUCCAGGACUUGAACCCGUGACCUCAUGGUCACAAGGCAGUAGCUUUACCACUGCGCCAA